rnacentral:rRNA from 1 species
GUGGGGAAUCUUGCGCAAUGGGCGAAAGCCUGACGCAGCCAUGCCGCGUGAAUGAUGAAGGUCUUAGGAUUGUAAAAUUCUUUCACCGGGGACGAUAAUGACGGUACCCGGAGAAGAAGCUCCGGCUAACUUCGUGCCAGCAGCCGCGGUAAUACGAAGGGGGCUAGCGUUGCUCGGAUUUACUGGGCGUAAAGGGCGCGUAGGCGGACAGCUUAGUCAGAGGUGAAAGCCCAGGGCUCAACCUUGGAAUUGCCUUUGAUACUGGCUGUCUUGAGUUUGGGAGAGGUGAGUGGAACUCCGAGUGUAGAGGUGAAAUUCGUAGAUAUUCGGAAGAACACCAGUGGCGAAGGCGACUCACUGGCCCAAUACUGACGCUGAGGCGCGAAAGCGUGGGGAGCAAACAGGAUUAGAUACCCCUGUAGUCC